UACGUAGGUGGCAAGCGUUGUCCGGAUUUAUUGGGUUUAAAGGGUGCGUAGGCGGUUUUGUAAGUCAGUGGUGAAAUACUCUAGCUUAACUAGAGGGGUGCCAAUGAUACUGCAAGACUUGAGUACAGAUGAGGUAGGCGGAAUUGACGGUGUAGCGGUGAAAUGCGUAGAUAUCAGGAGGAACACCUGCGGUGUAGACGGCUUUCUGGACCAUUGUUGACGCUGAGACACGAAAGCGUGGGUAGCAAACAGG
rnacentral:rRNA from 1 species